CUGCCUCGGGGCUGCCUCAUCUAUGAAGGAAUAUUCUAGAAGAGGAGGGGGCAGCAACGCCAGGCCCAGGGCAGAACAGGGGCACAGCAGGCCUUUGGCUCAGGGACCAUGAGGUCUAGAACUUUCCUUGGAGACUUUCUUGUCGUGGGUAUGUAUGUAUGUGGGGCACUGUGUGGGGGUGGGGUUUUGAAGGGGAAAUAAAACGAGUUUAAACACCGAGGACUCUAAGAGGAUAAAGGCUUCUUUAGUUGUUUGAGCCACAGAAAAUCUGACUCAGCCUUGCUUAAGUGAAAAGGGAAUCUAUUUGUUCACAAAAGCUGGAAAAGUCUAGAUCUGGCUUCAGGUGCAGCUUGACUGGGGCUCCAGGGAGGUUAGCAGGGAUCUCAGCUAGGCUUCUUUAGGCCACUUGAGUGUGGCUCUAUGGUUUCAGACUCCUGUAAAUUGAAGUCCAGGGUCCUGUGUCCCUUCCUGAUCUGAUGGAAUGUUCUAGAUUGUGUGUGGGUUAUCACCUCCUUUUUAGUCCAGUGGCUUCACCACAGGCAUGGCUGCGAGAGAGCGGGAUUCUUUAGGGGACAGUGGGGUCUAGUUGCUGUGAGGACAGACGCCAGGGCAUCAAAGCAGCAGACAGCCCCCACCUCAGAGGACUUGAGGUGGAAUCGGUCAUGAGGUACCCCCCACAAGGACAAAAUCCCCAACUUUGAAGGAAGAAGGGAUGUUUUGGAUCCUGUUUUCUGGAAGGAGCAGCCACAUGAAGGAGGGUCCUCUGUGAGAAUGCACCAAGUAGAGAGGUGUCCACAGUUUGCUUCCUGGUAGGAGAUUCCCCCCCCCCCCCCACGUUUUAAGCUCGCAAAGUGUGAACUAAGAACAACUAGCAUUUUGGCGCCAAAGAGCCAGGGGUUCCCUUCUCCUGACUUCCUGUUUCCACGCAGGUGACUUCCUGUUUCCACCCAGGUGGCUUCCUGUUUCCACGCAGAGGCUUUCUGGGGACAUCAGAAUUGGACCUUCCGGUGGUUCCAGAAGAAUACCAAGGAGGAACCUGAGGCUGAGAGAGGAGUCACAGCGGGGUCAAGAGGUAGAAGGUAGGACUCGGGUUGCGGGCGGGGUGGGGUGCCCGACCUGUGUGGCCCCUGACUGGUGUCCUGGGGGGGGGCGGAGACCUAGCCUCCCACACUGAGCUGCCCACCAGCA
ensembl:lncRNA